UCACGCUGGCGGCGUGCCUAACACAUGCAAGUCGAACGAGAAAGGGGAGCAAUCCCUGAGUAAAGUGGCGACCGGGUGAGUAACACGUGACUAACCUGCCUUCGAGUGGGGGAUAACCUCGGGAAACCGGGGCUAAUACCGCAUAAUGCCUUCGGGUUAAAGGAGCAAUUCGCUUGAAGAGGGGGUCGCGGCUGAUUAGCUAGUUGGCGGGGUAACGGCCCACCAAGGCGAAGAUCGGUAGCCGGCCUGAGAGGGCGCACGGCCACACUGGAACUGAAACACAGUCCAGACUCCUACGGGAGGCAGCAGUGGGGAAUUUUGCGCAAUGGGGGAAACCCUGACGCAGCAACGCCGCGUGGAGGAUGAAGUCCUUUGGGACGUAAACUCCUUUCGACCGGGACGAUUAUGACGGUACCGGUGGAAGAAGCCCCGGCUAACUUCGUGCCAGCAGCCGCGGUAAUACGAGGGGGGCGAGCGUUGUUCGGAAUUAUUGGGCGUAAAGGGCGCGUAGGCGGUGCGGUAAGUCACCUGUGAAACCUCUGGGCUUAACUCAGAGCCUGCAGGCGAAACUGCCGUGCUGGAGUGUGGGAGAGGUGCGUGGAAUUCCCGGUGUAGCGGUGAAACGCGUAGAUGUCGGGAGGAACACCUGUGGCGAAAGCGGC
rnacentral:rRNA from 1 species